CCUACGGGAGGCAGCAGUGAGGAAUAUUGGUCAAUGGGCGCGAGCCUGAACCAGCCAAGUCGCGUGAGGGAGGACGGCCCUACGGGUUGUAAACCUCUUUUGCCGGGGAGCAAAGGGCGUCACGUGUGGCGCCACUGAGAGUACCCGGAGAAAAAGAAUCGGCUAACUCCGUCCCAGCAGCCGCGGUAAUCCGGAGGAUGCGAGCUGUAUCCGGCUUUAUUUGGUUUACGGGGUGCGUGGGCGGAUCGUUAAGUCAGGGGUACAAGUGAGGGGCUCAACCCCUUCCCGCCAUUGAAACUGGCGUUCUUGAGUGGAAGAGAAGUAUGCGGAAUGCGUGGUGUAGCGGUGAAAUGCAUAGAUAUCACGCAGAACCCCGAUUGCGAAGGCAGCAUGCCGGCUUCCGACUGACGCUGAAGCACGAAAGCGUGGGGAUCGAACAGGAUUAGAUACCCGGGUAGUC
rnacentral:rRNA from 1 species